UUGACAAAACAUUUAAUAUAAGAUUAUAUUAAAAUUUUAACAUUUUAUUCAAAUGCUAUAUAUGUUAAUCCAUUCUACCAAAGUUAUUUUAAUAUUACUUUAAAAUUAGUCUUUAAAUGAAUAGGAACUUGCCUAAACAUAUCAGGUUCCUUUUUUUUUUCCCCCAAAACCAAAAUUCUUUUAUCUGUGUUAUUGAAAGAAUAUUAGGGUUGAUAACUAGGAAACAUGCUUUGAAAAUAUAGCUACAGUAUUCUACAUGAACUUCCUAAAAUUGAUAGAGGUGCAGAGCUGAACUAGAAAGAUACUGAAAUAUCAUCAUCACACAAGUACAAUAUUAGGUACUUUUUUGAAAAUGUAUUUUGUACUGAGCACUCUAAUAAAUAUAGCAUUUAAUCUUCACAGUCUUUGAAGUGCUUAUCAGUUAAGAGAAAGCUGAUGGACUGACCAUUAAAACAAGUUGUUCAGCUAGGCCUGGUGGUGCACACCUGUAAUCCCAGCUGCUCGGGAGACUGAGGCAGGAAGAUUGCAAGUUCAAAGCCAGCCUCAGAAUCUUAGUGAGGCCCUAACUCAAAACAGACCUUGAAGAAUACUUGUCAUAACUAAGCAGUACUCUAUUUUUGUCAAAGAAUUGUCCUUGGGACCAGCCUACCGACCCAGGUGUUCCCAGCUAAAAAGGUAUAUUAAAAAGAUAUAUAGUUUCAGAGUGAACUCCACAGAGCAUGAAGGGACUAUGGGGCCUUACAGUAAGAUCCUCAGUAACAUUUUAAUCACCCAUACCCCUUCAUAGGGAUGGUUAAAUCAGGUCAUAUUAGAUUAUUAGAAAGCUUAGUUUUUGUAUCCUAGACUAGUGGUGCUCGAAGUGUGGCCUUUGAACAGCUCCUAUCUUCUAACUGGUCUGAGAUAAAAUACAUAUAGAAAUCAAGAUUGAAAGUGUAGAAACUUGCAUGUUGUGUAAAAUUGUUGCAACAUUUACGUGUACAUUCAGUUUGUGUGUGUGUGUGUGUUUGUAUUUAUUUGUUUUACAAAGGCAUUGAUUUGUGAUGAACUGAAAAUUUUAAGUAGUUCUUGACUAUAGAGUUUGCAAAGUCAUGUUCAAAAGUAUAACAUUACAUGAUUAGGAGAGUAUUUUUAAUUCAUCUCCUGAUGUUUUAAAUUUUAUUUUAUUCUUCUUGGCUCUUAGAAUCAGUGUUUUUUUAAGUCUGUUUUUUUUUAUUAUUGCAUUUUGAUUUGAUAACUCAAAGCCUAGUAAAAAGAAUGUAUUAAUAUUUUUUAGUAUGCUUCACAAGUUUGGUUUUUAUUUAGACCAUGUGUGUUAGUCAGUUUUCCAUCACUGUAACAUCAUACUUGAGUUAUUGGCUCAUGUUUUUGGAGGUUUCAGUCUGGUCAAUUGGCAUGUUGGGCCUGUGGUAAAAUAGCACAUCAUGGUGGAAGUGUAUGGCAGAGGAAACUGCGCACCCAAUGGCAGCCUGGAAGCAGAGAGAGAGAGAGAGAGAGAGAGAGAGAGAGAGAGAGAGAGAGAGAUACCAAG